CUCGAUUUCUCAGAAUCGCUUCUUCCCAACGUCACAACUCGCUUCUCCGACGGGUUUGGGAAGCUGAUCUCUUGCAGAUUUGGCCGUGGCAGCAAGCAACCUUAAAGCAAGGGUACAUCCAAACUGGACAUAACUGGAGCUGCCAUUUCUGGGGUUUAUGAACAGGUGGGCCGAUCGAUCAAGAUUUCUUUGUGGAUGAUGCAAGGUGGCUGAAC